rnacentral:rRNA from 1 species
UACGUAGGGGGCAAGCGUUGUCCGGAUUUAUUGGGCGUAAAGCGCGUGUAGGCGGCGUCGUUAGUCGGAUGUGAAAGCCCUCGGCUCAACCGAGGAAGUGCAUCCGAUACUGCGAUGCUUGAGUGUUGGAGGGGGUGGCGGAAUUCCCGGUGUAGAGGUGAAAUUCGUAGAUAUCGGGAGGAACACCUGUGGCGAAGGCGGCCACCUGGACAACAACUGACGCUGAGACGCGAAAGCGUGGGUAGCAAACAGGAUUGAGAAACCCUGG